rnacentral:sRNA from 1 species
AUUCUGCCCGUGCAGGGAAGGAUGAGAAGCUUCAACCAGGUUCGAUUCGAGCGCAGCGAGAAAGCGUUGCCGCAGGCAACGACCCGAAG